GAAUAUUGCACAAUGGGCGCAAGCCUGAUGCAGCAACGCCGCGUGAGUGAAGAAGGCCCUCGGGUCGUAAAGCUCUUUCGAUAGGAAAGAAGGGUAUCAUGGUAAAUAACCACGAUACUUGACGGUACCUGAUGAAGAAGCACCGGCUAACUCCGUGCCAGCAGCCGCGGUAAUACGGAGGGUGCAAGCGUUGUUCGGAAUUACUGGGCGUAAAGCGCACGUAGGCGGGUUCGCAAGCCGAUUGUGAAAUCCCCGGGCUCAAUCCGGGAAUUGCAGUUGGAACUACGAAUCUUGAAUGCUUGAGAGGGUGACGGAAUUCCUGGUGUAGAAGUGAAAUUCGUAGAUAUCAGGAGGAACACCGGAGGCGAAGGCGGUUGCCUGGCAAUGCAUUGACGCUGAGGUGCGAAAGCGUGGGGAGCAAACAG
rnacentral:rRNA from 1 species